GAGGGGGAUGGGAUUAGAUUUGAAAAAGGCAUCAACUAAGAGCUAAACAACGAGCAGAAAGAAGAAAAUGUAAAAACAAAAAUGAAUUUGCGUAUAUCAGAGUGGCGGGUAUAUGUCGAACACGAUAUAAGGCGCUUCAAAACUUUCAGAGUCAAUGGAAGCUUAUGGAGACACCCGAGAGAAGAAAUCAAUCAGACAAUAGAGCGGUGUGUGGGAUUAAUAAAGCCAUACAUUAAACUUUUUCAGGAACUGUAAUACAACAAUAAAAUUAUUAUCUAACUGGCUUACUAUGUAUAUAUAAUCAAUCUAGAAUCAAAUGAACUUGUAUAACUCUCAGCCCCCC
rnacentral:lncRNA from 1 species